AAAUGAGACACUACCUGUGUCAUCUUCCAAGAUUAGACUAGCCAUGCUAGCUGGGAGGGACUGAUGGAAAUUUAUCUGUUAUUUAUUUUUUAUUGCAUUUACAUCCCACUUUUUUCUCCAAGGAGCUCAAGGUGGUGUACGUUGUUCAUCUCCUGCUCCUCGUUUAAUCUCCACAACAACCCUGCGAGGUAGGUUUAUGCCAGGGGUUAGCAAACCUUUUCAGCAGGGGGCUGGUCCACUGUCCCUCAUACCAUGUCAGGGGCCGGACUAUAUUUUUGGGGGGAAAUGAAUGAAUUCCUAUGCCCCACAAAUAACCCAGAGAUGUCUUUUAAAUAAAAGCACACAUUCUACUCAUGUAAAAACACCAGGCAGGCCCCACAAAUAACCCAGAGAUGCAUUUUAAAUAAAAGGACACAUUCUACUCAUGUAAAAACACACUGAUUCCCGGACUGUCCAUGGGCCAGAUUUAGAAGGCGAUUGGGCCGAAUCCGGCCCCCGGGCCUUAGUUUGCCUACCCAUGGUUUAGGCCAAGAGGCCGUGAUUGGCCCAAGGUCACCUAGUGAGCUAUGUGGCCAAGUGGGGAUUUGACCCUGAUCUCCCAGGCCCAAAUCCAAGAUGCUGACCAUUGCAACUGCAUUGGCCGUCCAGUGAAGUCCAAAAAGUUUGAAUCUCUACUCAGCUGCGACUUGGGGGGAAAACCCCUCUCAGCCAAAGUUUACUAUAAUAUUGCUGUCGAGUCUUUUGAAGGCUGUGAGGAUAAAAAUGCAAUAUAAAGCAUUGUCUGGGCGUAUCCUCAUUCUGCCCCAAAGAGAAUUCAGAACCAGAACAACUCAAGUAUGUCAGUCCAGCUACUCCCAAGUAGACCCAUUAAAUUAAUUGUUAAGUCAAGACAUGUACCGUAAAUUAAUUUCAGUGGGGAGUAAUCUGAGCAUGUCUAUACUUUGAUACAAUCCCAAAUAAUUUGGCUGUUUUUUAGAUUUCACAAAAUACCGUGUCCUUGGCUUUAAACAAGAAACAUACAAUUCUGCUGGGUUUGUGCUUUUUUUUAAAAAAAACAUUUCUGGUUGAAUAAAAUAGAAAAAGGAGGGGGAAUAGCUGGAGGGGUUGUGCAGAGGGGAUCAGAUUGCAUCUAUUUGCGGGAAUAUGGCCUUUGUUAUUCGAUGGCCAACAGAAUCCCAUUCACCAAGGAACAUUUUUUUAACUUUAUUUGCUGGAGGAAAAGGAGUAGGUAGGAAAAGGAGUAGGUCGGAAGCGUAUUCCCAUUCCUCUUUCAGAUUUAAUUCCUCUCUGUGUACUCCUGUUCCUCUCCUUAAUGGGAGCGACAUUUUUAGACUGAAUGGCUGGACCCCUCAGAGAACGAGCACUGCCAAAUCUUUUGUAGGGUUAGGCAGUCAAGAGGAAACUUUGAGAACAACACCCAUUGUAGCCUUUUGUGGGCACCUCUGGAAUGGUCUUAUUUAUUUGUGGGUGUGUUCAGCAAAAAUGUCAUUGAGGGUAUUUCCAGGCAAUCUGCUUAUUGACUCCCCUUCCUGAUUUGUUUGCACAAAGUCGUGGUGGCCUUGGCUAUUUAGUGGACGUUCAUCUCUGUUGGUCUGUGGGAUUGACAUUGCGUCGAAGGAAGGGCGACCCCACACAUCCCAGCACGUUAUCCCAUCCCUUCCCUUCUUGCAAAAAGCUUGAUCUUUUGGGGAAGUGGGUUUGUUGCACAAGAACCGCCAAUCAAUUGUAAUUGUGGAAACCUGAAUCAGACAGAAUUCCACCUGACCUUCGCCAAAAACCUGAAGCCUUUCUCCUAGGUAUUAUAGGAGUAGAUAUACCAAGAUUUGAGGACGUUAUUUAUUUAUGUAUCCAACCACGGCCGCCGGAAUGUUAUUAGCCCAAUGCUGGAAAGGAGACAAUAUACCGACAAAAAUGGAAUGGCAGACAAAAAUUAUUCGAGGACGCGGAAAUGGCUAGACUAACGGGGAAAGUUAGGAAUUAGGAUGACCAAAAAUUUAACACAGAAUAGGAUAAAUACAGACAAUACCUAAAAGAUCAUUGUAAAUAUCUGAAAUCUUUGGCAGGCCUUGAAUGACUCCUGCAAGGUGACACAACUUAUGGACAUAUUGGAUAAAUAUGAACUAGAUGUUAUUCAAGUAUGCAGUUAGUACAGAAUUGUAGAGGACCCACGUUCAAGUGGAGGGAAGUCUUAAUACUUUACAGUAGUACCUUGUUUUGAAUCCGGGAUCCUUUCUGGAGCCCCAGACAUUCCACAAAAGGUAUGCUCAACAAAGUGGCACCCUGCACACACACACGGAGCGGUUUGUGCUUCUGCACAUGCGCGAAGAGCGAUUUAGUGCUUCUGUGCAUGCGCGAGCAGCAAACCCGGAAGUAACACAUUCCAGUACUACCAGGUUUGCCACGGGCGUUUGCCGAGAUGGACAGUCGAUGGGGCAGACGUUUGCGGAGGUAUUACUGUGUUACAUAAUUGUAUUUCAUUUUCAACAUUUAAGUAUUCUUUGCUUCUUAUGUAUAUUUUUGACGGAGAAUUAUGAUUGUGAUGUAUAACAAAAAAAAUCAAUAAAUAUUAAAUGCAAAAAAGGAGAGGAAUGCCCAAGAAUUGGUUUCAAUUAGAGUUAAGCACAUCCUUUGAUCUCCCCCAUUGAGAACAAUGGAACUCCCAAGUGGUCCAGACAUUUUGGACAACACUGUUAUCUGUAGCUCCCCAGGGUUUCAGAUGAACACAUUCUGAACCACGUCAGAAGAGGCUUCUACAUGUAAACCAGACAUUCUGCCACUGAGCCAUGAUUCUCAGGCUCCUCUUUAAACUCCUAGGGCCAGCUGGUCAGCCAUGAACAGAAUUAAGCCAGUUUAAGGCAAGUGCCUGAUCUCCUCAUCUGUCUCCUGAGAAAUCUCUAUGUGGGACAAGAAGCUACAGUUAGAACUGGAUAUGGAACAACUGAUUGGUUCAAAAUUGGGAAAGGAGUACGACAAGGUUGUAUAUUGUCUCCCUGCUUAUUUAAUUUAUAUGCAGAAUUCAUCAUGCGAAAGGCUGGACUAGAUGAAUCCCAAGCCGGAAUUAAGAUUGCCAGAAGAAAUAUCAACAACCUCAGAUAUGCAGAUGACACAACCUUGAUGGCAGAAAGUGAGGAGGAAUUAAAGAACCUUUUAAUGAGGGUGAAAGAGGAGAGCGCAAAAUAUGGUCUGAAGCUCAACAUUAAAAAAACCAAGAUCAUGGCCACUGGUCCCAUCACCUCCUGGCAAAUAGAAGGGGAAGAAAUGGAGGCAGUGAGAGAUUUUACUUUCUUGGGCUCCUUGAUCACUGCAGAUGGUGACAGCAGUCACGAAAUUAAAAGACGCCUGCUUCUUGGGAGAAAAGCAAUGACAAACCUAGACAGCAUCUUAAAAAGCAGAGACAUCACCUUGCCUACAAAGGUCCGUAUAGUUAAAGCUAUGGUUUUCCCAGUCGUGAUGUAUGGAAGUGAGAGCUGGACCAUAAAGAAGGCUGAUCGCCGAAGAAUGGAUGCUUUUGAAUUAUGGUGCUGGAGGAGACUCUUGAGAGUCCCAUGGACUGCAAGAAGAUCAAACCUAUCCAUUCUUAAGGAAAUCAGCCCUGAGUGCUCACUGGAAGGACAGAUCCUGAAGCUGAGGCUCCAAUACUUUGGCCACCUCAUGAGAAGAGAAGACUUCCUGGAAAAGACCCUGAUGUUGGGAAAGAUUGAGGGCACAAGGAGAAGGGGACGACAGAGGACGAGAUGGUUGGACAGUGUUCUCGAAGCUACGAACAUGAGUUUGACCAAACUGCGGGAGGCAGUGCAAGACAGGAGUGCCUGGCGUGCUAUGGUCCAUGGGGUCACGAAGAGUCGGACACGACUAAACGACUAAACAACAACAACAAAGGCAAAUGACUACUGCAGAUUACCCACAGGCAGGUUUUGCAAAAAAACCACAGCAGUUCUGUGAAUCGCAACCACUGACUGUCUGCAAAAUGGAUGUGAAGAGAAGAAAAAAAGAAAGAGGGUCAUAUUUUCAUUCCAAGGGACAAAACAGGUACAAAAAGGAUUGAAAUUGCUACAUCCAUCUUCCUGUUUUCUUCCAAGCAAAAGCUUUGAUUGUCCUUAUUAUUCAGCUUCUCAUCCUGGGAGGAAGAUGAUAUCAGAUUUGUCUAAGGCCUGCAGGAUGUUUGCAAGAUGCCAUUUUCCACCCUCCCCUACGUUGGAGCCACUGAGGAAACCCACUCUUAAUAUUUUAAGUAGCCAAGAGUCUUUGACACCUCACUGACUGCAGUCUUGAAUAAAUGUGUGGCUAAAGAAAGGCCAAAGGUGCUGGAUUUUCCUUGGCGGACCUCUACUUUAAAUUCUGGGAUAACUUCUGAGUUUUUGUCUGUGUUACUAAUCUCUUGAUGCUACAGUCCCUCGCUAAUCAAUACUCUCGCUUGGCCAUAUCACAGGUGUGUGUGUGUGUAACUGUAAAUAGUGAGAUCGUAAGGAAAGGAAACUCAGCAUUAUUGUUAAUUUUGCAAUACUAAUUUUGUUAAUUUUGCAUUAUUAACAGAGGACAUUAGCAAAACCGCAGCAGCUGACAACGCACACAUCCUGAAAUCAAGUGGCAAGCCAAUUAACACACGCAGUGCGAUAAAAAUCUGUUAUGCUGCUUGUGCAGUCCCAAAAGCAACAGUACUGAACCUUUUGGCUGUAAUGCAAUUGUUUUCACUUUGGAACCGUUCAAGAAGUGCAGGGCUUUGACUUCUGGAUUGAAUCAACACCAUGGACCUUUAACAUGCUACGUGGCUAGAGAGCCAGUGUGGUGUAGUGGUUAAGAGCGGUAGACUCGUAAUCUGGGGAACCGGGUUCGUGUCUCCGAUCCUCCACAUGCGGCUGCUGGGUGACCUUGGUCUAGUCACACUUCUCUGAAGUCUCUCAGCCCCACCCACCUCACAGGGUGUCUGUCGUGGGGGAGGAAGGGAAAGAAUAAUGUGAUCCGCUUUGAGACUCCUUCGGGUAGUGAUAAAGCGGGAUAUCAAAUCCAAACUCUUCUUCUUCUAGUGGUAAUAACGGAACUAUCACCAUCUGUACAUUUCUACACUUUCUGCAUCUUAGAAACAAAAUUUAAAAAAUCCUUCCAGCAGCACCUUAGAGACCAACUAAGUUUGUUAUUGGUAUGAGCUUGCGUGCACACUUCUUCAGAUACCUGAGAUUAUCUAUGGCUCGCCUUUCAGCAUGGUUUAGAUUUUGUUGUAAGCGAUGGUGUUUUCUGGUCACAUCCGUAUGGAUUCUGUGGCGGAAGCAAUCGAUGUACAGCUCUAGUGUGGUAUUGCGUCUAUCAGGAGGGGUCCACGUGGAGUCCCUUUUUGUGUAACAUUUUUUCGGUGGUAGUUGGUGGUCAAUGUUCUGUUCAUUACUGUGUUGGGAGGGUGGUGGUUGUUCCCCAGUAGGUUGAGAGGUGUUGUGUUGUGAAGAUGUUGUUUGUUCUCCUUUGUCUUGUUCUUGUGUGUGUGUUGAAAGUACUCCUUCAGGUGUAAACGGCAGAAGUGUGCAUCUGAAGAAGUGUGUAUACACACGUAAGCUCAUACCAGUAACAAAUGAAAGCUCAUACCAAUAACAAACUUAGAUAAAGGGACCCCUGACCAUUAGGUCCAGUCGUGGACAACUCUGGGACUGCAGCGCUCAUCUCACUUUAUUGGCCGAGGAAGCCAGCAUACAGCUUCCAGGUCAUGUGGCCAGCAUGACUAAGCUGCUUCUGGCAAACCAGAGCAGCGCACGGAAACACCGUUUACCUUCCCGCUGGAGUGGUACCUAUUUAUCUACUUGCACUUUGACGUGCUUUCAAACUGCUAGGUUGGCAGGAGCUGGGACAGAGCAACGGGAGCUCACCCCGUCGUGGGGAUUCGAGCCGCCGACCUUCUGAUCAGCAAGCCCUAGGCUCUGUGGUUUAACCCACAGCACCACCCGCGUCCCAAUAACAAACUUAGUUGGUCUCUAAGGUGCUACCGGAAGUAAUUUUUUUUAUUUUGUUUCGACUAUGGCAGACCAACACAGCUACCUACCCAUAACUGCAUCUUAGAAGGAAGAAGUAUGCCGAUUUGAACCGUAGGGGUGUGUUUGUUUGUGUACAUAAUAGUUUUGAAUGCUCCCCAUACCCUCUGAUCGAUCCUCUUCCUCCAGUAUAUAAUGAACUAACUACAUAUCAGAGGAAAACAUUCAGCAUAGCCCCACCCCUUGAUAAUUUAUUACAUAGGGGUGUGUGCCCCCCACCCCUUAACACGGGGGUUAUGUCCCAGGACCCAGCACACAUAAGUGAAAAUGUGUAAAGUGGGGAGCACACUGUAAACACUCUUUACUCUGCCGCUCUUUACCUAAAAUACUUAUAUCUAAAAUUACCUAAAAUACUUAUGAAGAAGUGUGCAUGCACACGAAAGCUCAUAUCAAAAUAAAAACUUAGUUGGUCUUUAAGGUGCUACUGAAGGAAUUUUUUUAUUAUACUUAUAUCCAGAAAUACCCCCAGCUGGAAUUGAAGCUCUGGGGCCAGAAGGAUGAGCACUCUUAACAAAGUCCUGGUGAAUCUCAGGUCUCUUCAGUGCUUCCCCCACCCUUACUGAUGCCAUAGAAUAGAAUAGAAUCAUAGAGUUGGAAGAGACCACAAGGGCCAUCCAGUCCAACCCCCUGCCGAGCAGGAAACACCCAUCAAAGCAUUCUUGACAUAUGCCUGUCAAGCCUCUGCUUAAAGACCUCCAAAGAAGGAGACUCCACCACACUCCUUGGUAGCAAAUUCCACUGCCGAACAGCUCUUGCUGUCAGGAAGUUCUUCCUAAUGUUUAGGUGGAAUCUUCUUUCUUGUAGUUUGAAUCCAUUGCUCCGUGUCCGCUUCUCUGAAGCAGCAGAAAACAACCUUUCUCCCUCCUCUAUAAUAUGACACCCAAAGAGUCCUCUUUGGCCUCUGGGCAGGGUCUCCUUGCAAGCCACAAGGACUCUCCAGCUCUCUCCCACCAUUUCCAGGUUUGAAUUCAAUUAUUUAUCUCCUGGCGCUAUUCAUAUACACAGUUAGGCAUACAUUGGGGGACACCUGAAGAAGUGUGCAAAAGCUCAUACCAAUGACAAACUUAGUUGGUCUCUAAGGUGCUACUGGAAGGAUUUUUAUUUUAUUUUGGGGGACAUCUGUACAGGAUCUCUUUAUAUGUGGGAGCCGGGAUGUCGCAAUAAAUUAAGAGUAGGACCUCAUCAUGACAGCAUCUGUACUGAACUCCAACCCUCAAUCAGAGUACUAAAAAAGAAAAUGUAGGGAGCCGUGUUGGUCCAUUAUAUCGGCCUUCAACAACCUGGCACCCUCCAGAUAUUUUGGACAACAACUCCCACGUGCCUGAGCAUCAUGCUAGCUGGGGCUGAUGGGAUCUGCAGCACAGAACAUCCAGAGGGUACAAGGUUGGGCUGUGAGUCCUGGAUGACCUGCUCCCUGCCUCGCCUCCUUUUCCCACCUGGCCUGGGAGGGCGGGGCCUGGACUGACUCCAGCUACAAAAUGGUUCUCCGAAAUGUGGAGGGGAGGGGAAAAAAGGAAAACAUUGUGGGAUCAAAUAAUAAACUGGGGUGGCUUAUGUAAUUCCGGAACUGUCGCUGGGAAAUGGGGACGCUUGGAGAGUAUGCUACAAGAGGUAACAUUUACAUUUGUUGAUUUCCCCACCUAUUUUGGCCUCAGGCCCUGCCCAACAAUGGAAUGUGGCCCCCCUGAAGGUUUUCAGAAGGGAAUGUGGCCCUCAGACUCAGUGCCGGAUUUACGUAUAAGCUAAACCAGUGUUUCUCAACCUUUUUUGGGCCACGGCACACUUGUUCCAGGAAAAAAGUCACGAGGCACACCACCAUUAAAAAAGUUAAAAAAAUUAACUCUGUGCCGCCCUAUAUUGACUAUAUAAUUAUGACAGUAAGAAACACUUGCCAAUUGCUGUGUUGGUUGCAAUCUCCUGUAAUAAGGCUUCACAAGCCGCUGAUUUCUCUGCCAGCACAAUCCUUUGCUCAGCAAGUUUCAGGUUGAGCUCAUCCAGCCAGCUUCUUUAAGUUUGUCUAAAACCACCCUCCAGUCGUUUGCACUGAGCUUUGGGAAAGAGGAGGAGAAAUAUUGCUUUCCGGUGGGUCAGUGUUGCUCAUUGGCGGCUGGCAGGCACGUGACAAUGCAAAUCGCCCUUCUCGUCGCCGCACGUCGCGGCACACCAGCCAGCGUCUCGCGGCACACUAGUGUGCCGCGGAACAGCGGUUGAGAAUCGCUGAGCUAAACAAGCUAUAGAAAAUUUAAAAGGGAAAAACUGGAUGCAUAUUUCCAAAAUAUAAGAUAAAAAACAAAUAAAAUAAAACCUACAUACAGUAACCGUGUUUUGUGUUGUUUAGGCUCCUAGGGUGUAAGUCAUGGGCCCUCAAUCAUUUUACUUUAGAGCUUAAUAAUGAUUUCACUAUUAAGAUACUUCUUCUUAAUUGUACUUCACUAUUAAUAUACUUCUUCUUAAUUGUAUUUCAGUUCAACAAUUACUUUGAUAAAAUACAUAUUUUGCUAUGUGCAAAUGGCUUUAGAACAGCAACAAUUGGUUGUUGACAAAGGACAGCUGGACAUAUAAAGGGCCCCAUUACCUUCGGUAGCUUAGGGCAGGCAUCCCCAAACUGCGGCCCUCCAGAUGUUUUGGCCUACAACUCCCAUGAUCCCUAGCUAACAGGACCAGUACUCAGGGAUGCUGGGAAUUGUAGUCCAAAACAUCUGGAGGGCCGAAGUUUGGGGAUGCCUGGCUUAGGGCCUCAUCAAACCUAAUUCUAGCCCUGCUCAGACUGAAUAAAGGCUCCUCACCCCUGUUCAACCAGCUUAAUGGGAGGAGCAUCUCUGCAAACUUUCUGCUUCCCUGCCACAUUCGCAAAUGCAGAGUGAAAGAGAAAGGAUCAUUUUUUUGAGCCGUGGAUAUUGAUCGCUUUGAACUAGGUAUUGACAGUGCAAGCCAUGUUGCUCAUGUGUUGCGGAUUUGACUUUUUCUCCAACCUAAGUUACCCUAUUUGCUUUCCCCGCAGGCCCCGAGACCUUUUCUGGGGUGGGGCAUCACGGCAGCAAACCGCUUUAGGAAUGGAAAUUGUCCGGUUCCCAUCACGUUCAGCUUUGCACUGAAUGCCUGGGCUUUGUCAGCAAUUCCAGAAAGGCAGUUUUUGCUGGGAAAGAGUCAAGACGGAACAAGUUCUUCUUUUGUUACUGCCUUUGACUAGUGCUGCAUAAAAGGAAAGUCCACAAAACCCUGGCAAAUGAAGAGGAGAAUGCUACAAGAGACAUCCACACACUCCAUCCUUUCAGUUUCCUUGUUGUUUUAGAGGAGGCAGUCUCUAGGCAAUUUACAACCAAAUUACAGUGGUACCUUGGUUCUCAAACACCUUGGUUCUCAAACAGCUUGGAAUCCAAACACUGCAAACCCAGAAGUAAGUGUUCCAGUUUGCAAACUAUUUUCGGAAGCCUAACGUGCUCCGUUUUGAGUGCCACACUUCCAUUUUGAGUGUUAUGCUGAGAUCUGUCUGUUUUUGCUAUUUAUUUUGCGGUUUUGGUUUUUGCUGCUCUUUUGUUUUUGUGACUGUGACUGUGUGGAACCCAGUUUAGCUACUGAUUGAUUGAUUGAUUGAUUGUGUGACUGUAGUACAUUGUUUAUUGCUUUCAUUCUAUGGAUCAAUGGUCUCGUUAGACAGAAAAAUCCAUGUUAAAUUGCCGUUUUAGGGGUUGUUUUUUAAAGUCCGGAACGGAUUAAUCCGUUUUGCAUUACUUUCUAUGGGAAUGUGUGCCUUGGUUUUGGAACAUUUUAGUUUUGGAACGGACUUCCAGAAUGGAUUAAGUUUGAGAACCAAGGUACCACUGUAAAAGCAUUACAAAAAAAGAAAAGAAAGCACAACAGACACCAGUCACUAAACAUCGUAGCACAAGAAAAACAUCAUUCCCCUGGGUAGCUAAACAGCUAAAUUUAACUCCCACUAAGAUAGAUAGAUAGAUAGAUAGAUAGAUAGAUAGAUAGAUAGAUAGAUAGAUAGAUAGAUAGAUGUGGUAGAGGAUAAUUGAUGAGUAAGAAUAUUAACUAUGGGGAGACUUUUUGAAAAAGCAAGUUUACUUUGGCAGGUUUGGAAGUCACAGCACAAUGGAGGGAUAAGGUUGGAACAGAAACAGCAUUUUUUAAUGUGUGUUCCCAAUUUACCCAUCAUUAAUUACUGACAAUUAAAACCGGAUACUCCCAUGUGUGACAACCCAAGAAGCUUUCUCUUCCACCCGCACAGCUAUCUGAUAAGAAUGCAAGAGCUAUUCUUGCUGGGGUGUUAAAAAUAGUUUCCCAACGCUGAAAACAUUUUUUUAAAGGAAAUUUGAAAUGACAUCAUGAAUUCUUCUCUUCUUUUUUGAGCAGGUUGUCAUGGAAAGUAUGACUCCCGUCCGAUCCCAUCCCGAGUGCUGUCAAGCUUCAUGGGGUCUCGAGCGAGUUUUGGCUCCUUGAUGAGAUGCAACUAUUUGCAAAAACAGGAAUCUCGUUGCAUCUCAACAGGAAAUUCUAUUUUUGCUCGGCAUUUGAAUUAAUACGGGAGGAGGGCACAUACGAAACGUGAGCUAAAAUUAAGCAAUUCUCUCUCCCUCCCACCCAGAUUCUCAAUGAGGAAUCUGUGGUCAAUCAAAGCCUGUGCAACUAUAUAGAUAUAUAUUUACUAGAACGGUUAACCAAAUAAAGAUUCUAACUUUCAAAAAAUUGAAUAUCUGCCCCCCUGGGGGGAUUACCUAGGGGGACCCGAAGCGCAAGUAGAUAAAUAGGUGUUUCUGUGCUCUCUGGCACUCAUCACGGUCUCCCGUUACGCCAGAAGUGGUUUAGUCCUGAAGGUCACAUGACCCAGAAAGCUGUCUGUGGACAAACACCGGCUCCCUCAGCCUGAAAGCAAGAUGAGCGCCACAACCCCAUAGUCGCCUUUGACUGGACUUAAUCGUCCAGGGGUCCUCUACUGGGAGCCAGCAUGGUGUAGUGGUUAAGAGCAGUGGACUCAUAAUCUGGGGAACUGGGUUCGCUUCCCCGCUCCUCCACAUGCACCUGCUGAGUGACCUUGGGCUAGUCACACUUCUCUGAAGUCUCUCAGCCCCACUCACCUCACAGAGUGUUUGUUGUGGGGGAGGAAGGGAAAGGAGAAUGUUAGCCGCUUUGAGACUCCUUAAGGGGAGUGAAAGGCAGGAUAUCAAGUCCAAACUCUUAUUCUUCUACCUUUACCUUUACAUGGGCAGUUAUCUUUCCACAACGGCCGACAUUGAUGCUGAAAUCCAGCAUCGCCUGAGCUCUGCAAGUGCGGCUUUCUCCCGCUUGAAGUGCAGAGUGUUUGAGGACCGGGACAUUCGCAGGGAAACCGAAAUGCUUGUUUACAAAGGUCACAGUAGAAGUUCAACACACACAAAGCAACAAGGACAUUUCAUCUCACUCUUGACAUCGGCAAAAAUGAUGGGGUCAGCGAAAGAGGCGUGAUUUGGACCGAGGGAAGAGGAAGAGCAGCAGGAAAGAGUUUGGCUCAGGCUCUCCAGUCUGAAUAAGGUUCAGGACAUUUAUUUUAGAGAUGAAAAUGGGAGGCGAGAGUUGGGGUGGAGGUUGUAACUGCUGGAUAAAGUGACUCCUAGCAGGGGGAGGGCAGAGCCAUCCUUGUGCCGUGCGCCCCCACCCUGUCUCGGAAACAGACCGGGCAAAUGAUGAAAUGGCAGGGCAUUCUACAGAUUCACAAUUUUUUUUAUUGUGCACAAACACAUUUGUGGUGAAACAGAAACACCAAGCAAUAUUAAGUCCAAGCACACUGGAGGAAGCACUCGGAGAAAUGUGCAAACCGUCUCCUUUGUUCCAAGAUUAGGAGAUGCGGCAAUAGGCUUGCUCCAGCCACAAAUCCUUUGGUAUCCCCCUACUUCUGAUGCUGCCAUCUUUUCCAUGCAAGGGACUAAACUUGAAUGAUUAAAAAAUAGAGAACCUAGAGCCCUCCAAGCAUUGCUGGGGCAGCUGGACUCCAUCUCCCAUCAUUCCAGUGUUCCUUCAACCGUUGGGUCCCCAGAUGUUGCUGGACUACAACUCCCAUCGACCUGGCCGUGGAUGAUGGAAGUUGUAGUCCCAGAGCAUCUGGGAAGUGGGAACCCAACAGUUGAAGAACACCAGCCUACUCUAAAAGCCGGCAAUACCAUUCUCAGACUUGCGUCGCACGAUGAUCCUAGCAGUGCCUGCAAACCCGGUCCAGCGUUCACCGGAAUGACGUUUGGAACCCAGAAUUUCCAAAACGUCAAGAGUCUUAACGCAACGUCUUCAGCCGAGGUCUUACAAGAAAAAAUGCAGGCGACCAGGGGAGGUUUCCUACGGCUAACACAGGCCCACCGUUUGCCUUUCGCAGAGUUAUUCUGUGUACAGAUUUGAACCACGUCUACUCAAUAAAGAUUAAGGAGACAGACAACAGGCAGGAAGACUGAACGUCGAAGAUUGCUGAACAUAAAUGCUUCAGAUCCAAGUGUCUCUUUGAAGCACCAAUCUCAUCCAGAGGUAUCUGUUAUCUAAGGGUGCUUCCAUUCACAUUCCCCACUGCUCACUGGCCAUGCCCAACCAUGCUCUUCUCCAGACAUUUCGAAGCGGGUGUUCUCAGCGGCAUUUUGGGCACCCUUGUUUUGUUACGGUUGUUGGAAGGGAAAUCGCAAUAAUAAUAAUGUAUAUAUAUAUAUAUAUAUAUAAAGAUGUAAACUGGGCAUGUGGGUGUGUUUCCACUUUUCACCAAAACCGCUUGAGGUGAAAUUUUGACACAGCAUCACAUGCGAAUGUCCGAAGGCUAUAGGAAAGUUUGCUAAGACAGAUGUCACACCUCCGCCAGGUAAAACCCCCCAAAACCCCGUGUUUCAAAACACACCACUCAGAUGGAAAUGCAUGCUGGGAAAAGAACCAGUUUGCCGUCCAGCGCCCUCUAGCGGUGGCUACACUGGUACUGCACCUAUAAAACAUUCCCUCUCAACAGGACCUCGGCUCCCGUUCACAUACUAGGCCGAAGCCUUUACAGAUUAGGCCGAAUGGAGGUACUGACUCGCCUGGGUGGGGGUUGGGGGGAGAUGGGGACGGGAUGGGUCAGGACACGG